rnacentral:rRNA from 1 species
UACAGAGGUCCCGAGCGUUGUUCGGAUUUAUUGGGCGUAAAGGGUGCGUAGGCGGCGGAGUAAGUUGGGUGUGAAAUCCCGGGGCUCAACCUCGGAAUGGCAUUCAAUACUGCUUCGCUCGAGUACUGGAGAGGAGGCUGGAAUUUACGGUGUAGCAGUGAAAUGCGUAGAUAUGCGGAGGAACACCGGUGGCGAAGGCGGCAUCCUGGACCGACACUGACGCUGAGGAGCGAAAGCCAGGGGAGCAAACGGG